rnacentral:rRNA from 1 species
GGAGGAAAGCAGGGGAUCGUAAGACCUUGCGCUUUUGGAGUGGCCGAUGCCUGAUUAGCUAGUUGGUGGGGUAAGAGCCUACCAAGGCGACGAUCAGUAGUUGGUCUGAGAGGACGACCAGCCACACUGGGACUGAGACACGGCCCAGACUCCUACGGGAGGCAGCAGUGGGGAAUUUUGGACAAUGGGCGAAAGCCUGAUCCAGCAAUGCCGCGUGAGUGAAGAAGGCCUUCGGGUUGUAAAGCUCUUUCAGUCGAGAAGAAAAGGUUGCGACUAAUAAUCGCAACUUAUGACGGUAUCGACAGAAGAAGCACCGGCUAACUACGUGCCAGCAGCCGCGGUAAUACGUAGGGUGCGAGCGUUAAUCGGAAUUACUGGGCGUAAAGGGUGCGCAGGCGGCUCUGUAAGUCAGAUGUGAAAUCCCCGGGCUUAACCUG